GCCAGUGUGGUGUAGUGGUUUAAGCAUUGGACUGUAACUCUGGAGACCAGGGUUCAAAUCCCUACUUGGCCA
rnacentral:tRNA from 1 species